CUUGGCCGUGGGUUCCUCGAGAGAAAGAAAGGGAGAAGAAUUCGCUCACAACUUGCUCAUUUCUUGCUCAAAUCUUGUGGUUCUUGAGGGCUUUGAAAGGUUUGGAUCGAGUUGAGCUAAGGAAGGAAGAUUCAGAACAAGCUGUGAAGUUUCAGGAUAGAGAAGAAUAACCCAAGGCCCUAACAGGUGUGUCUCCGAGGAGCUGUUGAUUGCUGCAAGAAGGUGAUUGGACUGAUUGACGAUGAGACUUCCUUGGAGUGAGUGAACAAACCGAAGACUGGUAGAAGUAAUAGUUAGAUGUAAGGCUAGAGCCUUGGGUAGAGAAGCUUAAUGUUAUUGGUUAAAGCUUAUAGGGAUGGUUGUAUAACUUACUUUGGUUUUGGGUAGGUUCCGAUACAUUGCUCUUCUACAACUCUCCAGUGCGGGGAUUGUAGGAAGUAUAUUGGACUUAGGGUGUUAUCGCAUUCUGAACCUUGUUGUCUGUUAAUGCAUUACGUUAUUGUAUAUUACAUGUAUAGAACAUCCGUCGUCACUCACGAGUGCUUGCCUUGUUAAGGCCGGAUGUAUGGGUUUGGGCAAGUAUAUGCAUAUCAGGUUUUGAAAAUGUUUUAGAAAACAAAUAAAAAAAAUAUACCCUUAUUUGUAAAUUCUUUUGUAAAAUCAUUUCAUUUUAUUUAAUAGGUUACUAAUUAUGACCGCCAAAAGUUGGGGUGUUACAGGUCCAGUAGCUCAUGUAAUUGGCGCUCGAGCGCCAAGUGGUGUGUCUGAAAGCUGUUAUAAAUACUAGAUUGAGUUGUUUUAGUUUUUAUCCUUUGUACUUUGUAAAACUCAGAAGGAUAAGUGCUUCUUGGUGAUUGUGAGAGGGUUUCUAGGCUUGUAAUCAAGGUUCUUAGCCAAGCAUGACAAGGUUAUAGUCAUGCUUGGCUAAAUCUCUCUUAUGCUUUGAUUUUUUUGUAAGACUUCUUAUGUUUAAGUUAUAAUUCCAGUUUCUAUUGCAUAUGUUUAUGAA